AUUGAACGCUGGCGGCAGGCCUAACACAUGCAAGUCGAGCGGAUGAAGGGAGCUUGCUCCUGGAUUCAGCGGCGGACGGGUGAGUAAUGCCUAGGAAUCUGCCUGGUAGUGGGGGAUAACGUCCGGAAACGGGCGCUAAUACCGCAUACGUCCUGAGGGAGAAAGUGGGGGAUCUUCGGACCUCACGCUAUCAGAUGAGCCUAGGUCGGAUUAGCUAGUUGGUGGGGUAAAGGCCUACCAAGGCGACGAUCCGUAACUGGUCUGAGAGGAUGAUCAGUCACACUGGAACUGAGACACGGUCCAGACUCCUACGGGAGGCAGCAGUGGGGAAUAUUGGACAAUGGGCGAAAGCCCGAUCCAGCCAUGCCGCGUGUGUGAAGAAGGUCUUCGGAUUGUAAAGCACUUUAGGUUGGGAGGAAGGGCAGUAAGUUAAUACCUUGCUGUUUUGACGUUACCAACAGAAUAAGCACCGGCUAACUUCGUG
rnacentral:rRNA from 1 species